AACACAGAAGCAAAUCGUGCUUCUCUCCCCAUCUUAAAAAAAAAAACCCAAACUCAUCUUCUCCAAUUGCUUCUCAAAAUCAAUCCAACAAAACUCUUUGCAAAAUUGAAAUUAAACUCCCAACCCAGCAUAUAUGAAUCAAUCGGAAUUCAUGAAAAGGAAACAUUCAAAGUAAUGAAGAGUACCCAUUGGUAUUCGACGGCGUCGGAGGAGCUGCUCCGAUAAUCGAUGGAGGCUAGCGGCUGUGGCCGGAGGAGCCGUGGUUGUCGGCGAUUGGUCUGAGAGAUUGAUCGGCCGUUGUUGUUUUUCGGCGGAGCUAUGCUGAUUUUUGCAUGGUGGAAUCGUUGAAGGCUGCCGUCGAGACCAUGGGCUUGGGCACGCGGUAAUGAUGGUGCAUCGUGCAGAAGCAGAUCCGUAUUCGUAGCUGUGUUGUCGACAGAAACUUCGGUUGUGGUGCUGGUGAUGGCUGAAUCGGUGGAUGCACAGUGUUGUUCGUCACUUCUCCUCCCCCUGCUAUUGUCUUCGGUAUGGUUAUGAUAUGGUGUAUUAGUGCCGACGUUUCCGAUCGCGAAGUCUGUUAUCCUUUCCAUCCUGCCAAACAAACAACAACAAAGAAACUUGUAUAAAUGUUAUAUUAUGAUGUUAAUUUUGUUGUGGUUUAUUUUCAAUCUCCUUCUGUUUUGAUGUCGAUCUCUGUGCAAGUUAUUUGUUGUUGUUGAAACAAGCUGAAUGUUCGCAGAUAUCGAAACGAGUUUGAGGCGGUCUCCGAUCUUUGUUCCUUCUCUUUUCUGUAAAAAAAAACUCAUAUACCAUUGUUAGUGAAAACUCAUGUCUACUAUUUUGUGUGAAGACUGGUCAAUAGAAUGAAAAAGAGUUGAUAGGUGAACCGAAAA